rnacentral:rRNA from 1 species
GCGGGGAAGGGUAGCUUGCUACCUGACCUAGCGGCGGACGGGUGAGUAAUGCUUAUGAAUCUGCCUAUUAGUGGGGGACAACAUUCCGAAAGGAAUGCUAAUACCGCAUACGCCCUACAGGGGAAAGCAGGGGAUCUUCGGACCUUGCGCUAAUAAAUGAGCCUAAUUCAAAUUAACUAGUUGGUGGGGUAAAGGCCUACCAAGGCGACGAUCUGUAGCGGGUCUGAGAGGAUGAUCCGCCACACUGGGACUGAAACACGGCCCAUACUCCUACGGGAGGCAGCAGUGGGGAAUAUUGGACAAUGGGCGAAAGCCUGAUCCAGCCAUGCCGCGUGUGUGAAGAAGGCCUUUUGGUUGUAAAGCACUUUAAGCGAGGAGGAGGCUACUGAGAUUAAUACUCUUGGAUAGUGGACGUUACUCGCAGAAUAAGCACCGGCUAACUCUGUGCCAGCAGCCGCGGUAAUACAGAGGGUGCGAGCGUUAAUCGGAUUUACUGGGCGUAAAGCGUGCGUACGCGGCUGUUUAAGUCGGAUGUGAAAUCCCUGAUCUUAACUUACGAAUUGCAUUCCAUACUGGGAGGCUAGAGUAUGGGAGAGGAUGGUAGAAUUCCAGUGUAGCGGUGAAUGCGUACAGAUCUGGAGGAUACCGAUGGCGAAUGCAUCAUCUGUCUAAUACUGACGCUGAGUACNNAAGCAUGGGAGCAACAGNNNUANAUACNCUGGUAGUCAUGCNNNAANNAUGUCUACUAGCCGUGGGCCUCUGAGGACUUUAGUCGUCGCAGUUAACGCGAUAAGUAGACCGCCUGGGGAGUACGUUCGCAAGAUUAAAACUCAAAUGAAUCGUCGGGGGCCCGCACCAGGCGGUGGAGCAUGUGGUUUACUUGGAUGCAACGCGAGGAACCUACCUUGUUCUUAACAUAGUAAGAACUUUCCAAAGAUGGAUGGGUCCCUUCGGAAAGUAACAUACAGUUGCUGCAUGGCUUUCUUCAGCUCGUGUCGUGAGAGGUUGGGUUAAUUCCCGCACAAAGGCCAACCUUUUCCCUUAUUGCCCGGCGGGUUAAGCCGGGAACUUUAAGGAUAUUGCCAGUGACAAAUGGGAGGAAGGCGGGGAGGACGUCAAUUCAUCAUGCCCCUUAGGACCAGGGCUACACACGUGCUACAAUGGUCGUUACAAAGGGUGGCUACCUAGCGAUAGGAUGUUAAUUUCAAAAAGCCGUUAUUAGUCCGGAUUGGAGUCUGCAACUCGAUUCCAUGAAGUCGGAAUCGUUAGUAAUCGCGGAUCAGAAUGCCGCGGUGAAUACGUUCCCGGGCCUUGUACACACCGCCCGUCACACCAUUGGAAUUUGUUGCACCAGAAGUAGGUAGUCUAACCGCAAGGAGGACGCUUACCACGGUGUGGCCGAUGACUGGGGGAAGUCG